AGGUCUGUCGCCAAGCGGUAAGGCAACGGGUUUUGAUCCCGUCAUACCUAGGUUCGAA
rnacentral:tRNA from 5 species